GACGACCGGCGCACGGGUGCGUAACGCGUAUGCAAUCUACCUCUUACUGAGGGAUAGCCCAUGGAAACGUGGAUUAAUACCUCAUAGUAUUAUAGACUGGCCUCAGUUUAUGAUUAAAGGUUACGGUAAGAGAUGAGCAUGCGUCCUAUUAGCUAGAUGGUAAGGUAACGGCUUACCAUGGCUACGAUAGGUAGGGGUCCUGAGAGGGAGAUCCCCCACACUGGUACUGAGACACGGACCAGACUCCUACGGGAGGCAGCAGUGAGGAAUAUUGGACAAUGGGCGAGAGCCUGAUCCAGCCAUGCCGCGUGCAGGAAGACGGCCCUAUGGGUUGUAAACUGCUUUUACAGAGGAAGAACCCUCCUUACGUGUAAGGAGCUGACGGUACUCUAUGAAUAAGGAUCGGCUAACUCCGUGCCAGCAGCCGCGGUAAUACGGAGGAUCCAAGCGUUAUCCGGAAUCAUUGGGUUUAAAGGGUCCGUAGGCGGGUCUAUAAGUCAGUGGUGAAAGUCUGCAGCUUAACUGUAGAACUGCCAUUGAUACUGUAGACCUUGAAUUAGUAUGAAGUGGUUAGAAUGUGUAGUGUAGCGGUGAAAUGCAUAGAUAUUACACAGAAUACCGAUUGCGAAGGCAGAUCACUAAUACUAUAUUGACGCUGAU
rnacentral:rRNA from 1 species